AGGAUUGAGGAGUUGGAAGAGACCUUUAGAACAGCUAGUCAUUAUGCCGACCGGGUGUCUGCACUAAGUUUGGUAUCAAUAUGGUGACCUUCUGGGGAGCAGGGGGCCACCAGGUUGCCUAAGGAUGGGUGAACUGGCCCAGAUCAGAAAGGGAGCAGGUCAGAACUCCCACACUGACUGGUAGUGGGACUGUGCCUGGGAAAUAUAACAAGAUCUUGGUUCUU
rnacentral:sRNA from 1 species